GAAGGUGUGUCGUGAGGCAUGCUGGAGGUAUCAGAAGUGCGAAUGCUGACAUAAGUAACGAUAAAGCGGGUGAAAAGCCCGCUCGCCGGAAGACCAAGGGUUCCUGUCCAACGUUAAUCGGGGCAGGGUGAGUCGACCCCUAAGGCGAGGCCGAAAGGCGUAGUCGAUGGGAAACGGGUUAAUAUUCCCGUACUUGGUGUUACUGCGAAGGGGGGACGGAGAAGGCUAUGUUGGCCGGGCGACGGUUGUCCCGGUUUAAGCGUGUAGGUGUGUGUUCCAGGUAAAUCCGGUUCACUUUAACACUGAGGCGUGAUGACGAGGCACUACGGUGCUGAAGCAACAAAUGCCCUGCUUCCAGGAAAAGCCUCUAAGCAUCAGGUAACAUCAAAUCGUACCCCAAACCGACACAGGUGGUCAGGUAGAGAAUACCAAGGCGCUUGAGAGAACUCGGGUGAAGGAACUAGGCAAAAUGGUGCCGUAACUUCGGGAGAAGGCACGCUGACAC
rnacentral:rRNA from 3 species